GGUUUCGUGGGCUUUGACAAAGGGCUUCAACUUUGAGUGCCAGUAUUGACAAGUGAUAAGUCUUCCUGAUAGGGAAACUGAGGCACAGCAAGGUCCACUUCCUUGGUCUACUGUGCAGCAGAGCAGUCUGUUCUAUCCUGGUACGGACAAAGAGGGAGUGUGCUGAUUGGACUGUGUCAUCAAGGCAGAAAGUGACAAUGGAAACAUGCCUCA